ACGAACCUACAAAAUGGAAGAAGGUGAUCAAGAGUAAGAACAAGAUGGAGAGGACGUGCCCACCGGGAUACGGCAGAAAAGGAUCAUCUUGCGAGCUCUGUCCAGCGAGCACGUACGGACAUGGCGUGUGCCUGCCCUGUCCACCGAACUCGUACAACCUCAAGGCCGGCUCUGCGUACUGCGACCCGUGU